UCGGGAAUUUUGGGCAAUGGGCGAAAGCCUGACCCAGCAACGCCGCGUGAGGGAUGAAGUAUUUCGGUAUGUAAACCUCGAAAGAAUGGGAAGAAUAAAUGACGGUACCAUUUAUAAGCUCCGGCUAACUACGUGCCAGCAGCCGCGGUAAUACGUAGGGAGCAAGCGUUGUUCGGAUUUACUGGGCGUAAAGGGCGCGUAGGCGGCGCGGUAAGUCACUUGUGAAAUCUCUGAGCUUAACUCAGAACGGCCAAGUGAUACUGCUGUGCUAGAGUGCGGAAGAGGCAACCGGAAUUCUUGGUGUAGCGGUGAAAUGCGUAGAUAUCAAGAGGAACACCUGAGGCGAAGGCGGGUCGCUGGGCCGACACUGACGCCGAUGCGCGAAAGCCAGGGGAGCAAACG
rnacentral:rRNA from 1 species